AUGAUGGCGCACAACAAAGUUCUAGGACUCAGCACUUGCUUUGGAGCCAGCAGAUGAUUAUGACACUCAGAGUGAAAUGUCUGCAGUUAUGCCAUCAGACCUCCCAGAAAGUGGGAAAUCCAAUUAUCCUCCUCUCGGUCUCGGGACUUCCUUCGCUUUUAAGUUUGAGGACCUUAAAGGUCGCAUUCACAGGGUAAAUAGUGGCACGGAGCAUUUGGAAGAACUUUUGUCCGCUGUCGUGCAAAGGGUUGGGGCCGGUGAUGAUCAGCGAC